ACACGAUAAGGGCAAACCCGGAGUGAUCCGAGGACGCAAAGGAAAGGGUCUUUUGUGUAGAGACGCUCCGGUGGGGCGUCUUUAAAAGACAGCCUUACUGCCGAA
rnacentral:ncRNA from 1 species